AAAGAGGAAGGCUAAGAAAUAUUGGACUCCUAGUUUGCGAGAUUCCAAGCGUUGCGAUGAUCCUAAUUGUUGUUGGCCUAAUAUAUUAGGCCAAUAACGAGUUCCAAAGUAGAAACUCCAGCUCUCCGGUUAUACAUGAAACAUAAGAAGAAGUAAAGGGAUUAGGAACUGUUCAAAUAACUAUAAUAGAUUCAAAAUAGAGCAGCCCUUUACAC
rnacentral:lncRNA from 1 species